GAUGAACGCUGGCGGCGUGCCUAAUACAUGCAAGUCGAGCGAACGGACGCGAAGCUUGCUUCUCUGAUGUUAGCGGCGGACGGGUGAGUAACACGUGGAUAACCUACCUAUAAGACUGGGAUAACUUCGGGAAACCGGAGCUAAUACCGGAUAAUAUUUUGCACCGCAUGGUUCAAAAGUGAAAGACGGUCUUGCUGUCACUUAUAGCUGCAUCUGCGCUGCAUUAGCUAGUUGGUAAGGUCAAGGCUUAUCAAGGCAACGAUGCAUAACCGACCUGAGAGGGGGAUCGGCCACACUGGAACUGAAACACGGACCAUACGCCUACGGGAGGCAGCAGUAGGGAAUCUGCCGCAAUAGGCGAAAGCCUGACGGAGCAACGCCGCGUGAGUGAUGAAGGUCUUCGGAUCGUAAAACUCUGUUAUUAGGGAAGAACAUAUGUGUAAGUAACUGUGCACAUCGUGACGGUACCUAAUCAGAAAGCCACGGCUAACUACGUG
rnacentral:rRNA from 1 species